UGAAUACGAGACGCUAAGGCGUCGAAGUAGUGUAUGUCGUACUUCCAAGAAAAGCUUGCACUGUCAUAGAUAAAAAACGCCUGUACCAUAACCGACACAGGUGGGUAGGUAGAGUAUACUAAGGGGCGCGAGAUAACUCUCUCUAAGGAACUCGGCAAAAUAACUCCGUAACUUCGGGAGAAGGAGUGCCUUAUUCGUAAGGUUGCAAUAACAAGAUCCAAGCAACUGUUUAUCAAAAACACAGGUCUCCGCUAAGUCGUAAGACGAUGUAUGGGGGCUGACGCCUGCCCAGUGCCAGAAGGUUAAAGAAGUUGGUUAGCAAUUGCGAAGCUGAUAACUGAAGCCCUGGUGAACGGCGGCCGUAACAAUAACGGUCCUAAGGUAGCGAAAUUCCUUGUCGGGUAAGUUCCGACCCGCACGAAAGGCGUAAUGAUUUGGAUACUGUCUCGGAGAGGGGCUCGGUGAAAUAGACUUGUCUGUGAAGAUGCGGACUACCUGCACCAGGACAGAAAGACCCUAUGAAGCUUUACUGUAACUUGAAAUUGAAAUUGGACUUUAUUCGCGCAGUAUAGGUGGGAGGCGUUGAUUAUAAUCUUGUGGGAUUAUUGGAGCCAUCAAUGAGAUACCACUCUUGUAAUGUUAGAUUUCUAACUUUGAAUCAUUAUCUGGUCAAAGAACAGUUUCAGGCGGGCAGUUUGACUGGGGCGGUCGCCUCCUAAACGGUAACGGAGGCGUACAAAGGUUUCCUCUGAACGGUUAGAAAUCGUAUCUAGAGUGUAAAGGCAUAAGGAAGCUUGACUGUGAGACCUACAAGUCGAGCAGGGACGAAAGUCGGUCUUAGUGAUCUGACGGUACUGAGUGGAAAGGCCGUCACUCAACGGAUAAAAGUUACUCUAGGAUAACAGGCUGAUCUCCCCCAAGAGUUCACAUCGACGGGGAGGUUUGGCACCUCGAUGUCGGCUCAUCGCAUCCUGGGGCGGUAGUACGUCCCAAGGGUUGGGCUGUUCGCCCAUGAAAGCGGUACGCGAGCUGGGUUCAGAACGUCGUGAGACAGUUCGGUCCAUAUCCGGUGUAGGCGUUAGAAUAUUGAGAGGAGCCUUCUUUAGUACGAGAGGACCGAGAAGGACAUACCUCUGGUGUACCAGUUAUCGUGCCAACGGUAAACGCUGGGUAGCUAUGUAUGGAGUGGAUAACCGCUGAAAGCAUCUAAGUGGGAAGCCCACCUCAAGAUAAGUAUUCUCAUC
rnacentral:rRNA from 1 species